rnacentral:rRNA from 1 species
GACGAACGCUGGCGGCGUGCUUAACACAUGCAAGUCGAACGGUGAAGCGCCUUCCUUUUUGGUGGGUGUGGAUGAGUGGCGAACGGGUGAGUAACACGUGAGUAACCUGCCCCCUUCUUCUGGAUAACCGCAUGAAAGUGUGGCUAAUACGGGAUAUUCUGGGUCUGUCGCAUGAUGGGUCUGGGAAAGAUAUUGUUUCGGUGGGGGAUGGGCUCGCGGCCUAUCAGCUUGUUGGUGGGGUGAUGGCCUACCAAGGCGGUGACGGGUAGCCGGCCUGAGGGGGUGGACGGUCACACUGGGACUGAGACACGGCCCAGACUCCUACGGGAGGCAGCAGUGGGGAAUAUUGCACAAUGGGCGCAAGCCUGAUGCAGCGACGCCGCGUGAGGGAUGGAGGCCUGCGGGUUGUGAACCUCCUUCGCCAGUGAAGCAGGCCUGCCUCGUUUGUGGGUGGGUUGACGGUAGCUGGAUAAGAAGCGCCGGCUAACUACGUG